rnacentral:sRNA from 1 species
UAUCUCUCCGUACGGGGAAGGAUGAGAAGCUUCGAAUAAGGUUCGAUUCGAGCGAAAGCGAGAAAG